rnacentral:misc_RNA from 1 species
GAUGAAGAACGUAGCGAAAUGCGAUAAGUAGUGUGAAUUGCAGAAUUCAGUGAAUCAUCGAAUCUUUGAACGCACAUUGCGCCCCUUGGUAUUCCAUGGGGCAUGCCUGUUCGAGCGUCAUUUGUACCUUCAAGCUUUGCUUGGUGUUGGGUGUUUGUCCCGCCUUUGCGUGUAGACUCGCCUUAAAAUAAUUGGCAGCCGGCGUAUUGAUUUCGGAGCGCAGUACAUCUCGCGCUUUGCACUCAUAACGACAGCGUCCAAAAGUACAUUUUACACUCUUGACCUCGGAUCAGGUAGGGAUACCCGCUGAACUUAAGCAUAUCAAUAAGCGGAGGA